CGGACGGGUGAGUAAUACUUAGGAAUCUGCCCAUUAGUGGGGGACAACUCGAGGAAACUCGAGCUAAUACCGCAUACGCCCUACGGGGGAAAGCGGAGGACCUUUCGGGGCUUCGCGCUAAUGGAUGAGCCUAAGUCGGAUUAGCUUGUUGGUGAGGCAAAGGCUCACCAAGGCGACGAUCCGUAGCUGGUCUGAGAGGACGAUCAGCCACACUGGGACUGAGACACGGCCCAG
rnacentral:rRNA from 1 species